rnacentral:rRNA from 1 species
UGUUACCUUGUUACGACUUCACCCUAGUCGCUAAUUCCACUGUGGAAGGUAGCUAUCUUAGCAUCCCCGCUUCGAAUGAAAUCAACUCCCAUGGUGUGACGGGCGGUGAGUACAAGACCCGGGAACGUAUUCACCGUAGCAUUGCUGAUCUACGAUUACUAGCGAUUCCAACUUCAUGUUUUCGAGUUGCAGAGAACAAUCCGAACUGGGAGGCAUUUUAUGAGAUUUGCUCCACCUCGCGGUAUCGCUGCUCUUUGUAUGCCCCAUUGUAGCACGUGUGUAGCCCUGGCCGUAAGGGCCAUGAUGACUUGACGUCGUCCUCACCUUCCUCCUCCUUGCGAAGGCAGUCUGAUUAGAGUCCCCACCCGAAGUGCUGGUAACUAAUCACGAGGGUUGCGCUCGUUGCGGGACUUAACCCAACAUCUCACGACACGAGCUGACGACAGCCGUGCAGCACCUGUUUUCAAGUUCUAGUAAACUAGCACUCUCUCAUCUCUGAAAGAUUCUAUCAAUGUCAAGGCCAGGUAAGGUUCUUCGCGUAUCGUCGAAUUAAACCACAUGCUCCACCGCUUGUGCGGGUCCCCGUCUAUUCCUUUGAGUUUUAAUCUUGCGACCGUACUCCCCAGGCGGUACACUUAAUGUGU